UAGCUUAGUUGGUAGAGUGCUUGCCUUGCAUGCAUGGGGUCCUGGGUUCAACCCCAG
rnacentral:tRNA from 1 species